ACUUCCGAGGAGCGCUGCGAGGCCGGCAAGGUCCCAGGCUCGGAUGUCUGCCCCGCCAGGGGAGACCAGUUUCAACGGCGCUCACCUUUA
rnacentral:ncRNA from 2 species